UACGGAGGGGGCAAGCGUUAUUCGGAAUCAUUGGGCGUAAAGGGCGCGUAGGCGGCCAGAUAAGUUGAAGGUGAAAUCCCUCGGCUCAACCGAGGAACUGCCUUCAAAACUGUCUGGCUAGAGGCCGGGAGAGGGUAGUGGAAUUCCCAGUGUUAGCGGUGAAAUGCGUAGAUAUUGGGAGGAACACCGGUGGCGAAGGCGGCUACCUGGACCGGUUCUGACGCUGAGGCGCGAAAGCGUGGGGAGCAAACAGG
rnacentral:misc_RNA from 1 species